AACGAACGCUGGCGGCAGGCCUAACACAUGCAAGUCGAACGCCGUAGCAAUACGGAGUGGCAGACGGGUGAGUAACACGUGGGAACGUACCCUUCGGUUCGGAAUAACUCAGGGAAACUUGAGCUAAUACCGGAUACGUCCGAGAGGAGAAAGAUUUAUCGCCGAGGGAUCGGCCCGCGUCUGAUUAGCUUGUUGGUGAGGUAACGGCUCACCAAGGCGACGAUCAGUAGCUGGUCGAGAGGAUGAUCAGCCACAUUGGGACUGAGACACGGCCCAAACUCCUACGGGAGGCAGCAGUGGGGAAUAUUGGACAAUGGGCGCAAGCCUGAUCCAGCCAUGCCGCGUGAGUGAUGAAGGCCCUAGGGUUGUAAAGCUCUUUUACCCGGGAAGAUAAUGACUGUACCGGGAGAAUAAG
rnacentral:rRNA from 1 species